GGGUAUGUGAACUUGUAAGGUGGUUGAUAAAGAGAGAUGAAACUUAAUUAAAUUUAGAGAAAUGCUCAUCUUUUUAACGUUGGCAGUCGUAGGGUAGGUAGUAUUUCUUUUCUUUUAUUUAUUUGAUGCAUAUUAGGAUGGAUUAGGUGUAGGAUACGGUGGUGGCAAUUGAAGAGAUGAAAUUCCUUUCUUACUUGGUGAUGCACGGUCAUUUGUAUAGGUUUGGGAGAUGAUUCCCACUACUAGCAUAUUUGACCAACUUCCAUGCAUUUCCUUGCUUUUAAAUUGUGGUGCAGAGGUGGUGAUUCAUGG
rnacentral:lncRNA from 1 species